rnacentral:rRNA from 1 species
AUCCUACGGGAGGCAGCAGUGGGGAAUAUUGGACAAUGGGCGAAAGCCUGAUCCAGCAAUGCCGCGUGAGUGAUGAAGGCCUUAGGGUUGUAAACUGCUUUUAUGUGCGAAGAAUAUGACGGUAACACAUGAAUAAGGAUCGGCUAACUCCGUGCCAGCAGCCGCGGUAAUAAU